AACGAACGCUGGCGGCAGGCUUAACACAUGCAAGUCGAACGCACCUUUCGGGGUGAGUGGCAGACGGGUGAGUAACGCGUGGGAAUCUACCCUUCUCUACGGGAUAGCUCCGGGAAACUGGAAUUAAUACCGUAUACGUCCUGAGGGAGAAAGAUUUAUCGGGGAAGGAUGAGCCCGCGUUGGAUUAGCUAGUUGGUGGGGUAAAGGCCUACCAAGGCGACGAUCCAUAGCUGGUCUAAGAGGAUGAUCAGCCACAUUGGGACUGAGACACGGCCCAAACCCCUACGGGAGGCAGCAGUGGAGAAUAUUGGGGAAUGGGCGCAAGCGUGAUCCAGCCAUGCCGCGGGAGUGAUGAAGGCCCUAGGGUUGUAAAGCUCUUUCAGUGGGGACGAUAAUGACGGUACCCACAGAAGAAGCCCCGGCUAACUUCGUG
rnacentral:rRNA from 1 species